rnacentral:rRNA from 1 species
CCUACGGGAGGCAGCAGUGAGGAAUAUUGGUCAAUGGCCGGAAGGCUGAACCAGCCAAGCCGCGUGAAGGACGAAGGUGCCAAGCAUUGUAAACUUCUUUUGUCAAGGGACAAAAUCAGGCUCGAGAGCCUGACCGAGGGUACUUGAAGAAAAAGCAUCGGCUAACUCCGUGCCAGCAGCCGCGGUAAUACGGAGGAUGCGAGCGUUAUCUGGAUUUAUUGGGUUUAAAGGGUGCGUAGGCGGGCUGUUAAGUCAGCGGUAAAAGCCCGGGGCUCAACCCCGGCGAGCCGUUGAAACGGGCUGUCUUGAGAUGUCGAGAGGUAUGCGGAAUGCGCAGUGUAGCGGUGAAAGGCUUAGAUAUUGCGCAGAACUCCGAUUGCGAAGGCAGCAGACCGGCGGCGAUCUGACGCUGAGGCACGAAAGCGUGGGUAUCGAACAGGAUUAGAUACCCCAGUAGUC